rnacentral:piRNA from 1 species
UGGCUCUAGGUAAAUGAAUUGGAUCUCUUGU